rnacentral:rRNA from 1 species
UACAGAGGUGGCAAGCGUUGUUCGGAAUUACUGGGCGUAAAGGGCGCGUAGGCGGUCUUUCAAGUCCCGUGUGAAAUCCCUCGGCUCAACUGAGGAACUGCACGGGAAACUGUCUGGCUUGAGUUCGGGAGAGGGAAGCGGAAUUCCGGGUGUAGCGGUGAAAUGCGUAGAUAUCAAGAGGAACACCUGCGGCGAAGGCGGGUUGCUGGGCCGACACUGACGCUGAGGCGCGAAAGCUAGGGGAGCGAACGGG